rnacentral:lncRNA from 1 species
AGCUAGAUAACCGAAAGUAAAAAUAACCCCAUACACUGCGGAGCACGAGCCCGAGGGAAGGCGGGCCGGAGCUAGGCGCCCCCGAGCUGAUCCUGGGAAAUGGGGAAAGGGAGGAGAUGGAAGGGAGGGAAACCGAAGCAAGAGCCAAGAGACCAAAAAGGAAAAUCAGAAGGAAAAGAAGAGGAAGAAAAGACGUCUUACUUCUAGUGGGACUUCCGAGAUGGCAGCCACUCAGUCCCCCCCUCCCCAUCUCCAAGAACAAUAAGAGGACUUAAAGGACAAGGGGCCAAUAGCAUACAGAGGGAGAAGCCUUAACACAAUUGGCCUCCAUGUACCUGAAGCAGCCUUCCAGGAUUGACUGGAGGACAGAUAACGCCAGCUACUAAUCCCAGGGAGAGAGAAAGUGAAGAGAUCUUCCUGUCACCCUCUCCACUGAUAUCCACCCUCCUCCAGGAAGUUUGUCAGGAUUCAUAGAGCAUCAGCCCUUGAAUUGCCUGGUUCCUGUCCGGGAUAAAAGUAUUUGACCUUCAUGUAUACUUAUUGUGUAUCUAAGUUAUAUUUUAAUAUAUUUAACAUCUACUGGUCAUCCUGCCAUCUAGGGGAGGGGGGGGGUAAGAGGUGAAAAAUUGGAACAAGAGGUUUGGCAAUUGUUAAUCCUGUAAAGUUACCCAUGUAUAUAUCCUGUAAAUAAAAGGCUAUUAAAUUUAAAAAAAAAAAAAGUAUUUGACCUUAACACAUCUCAUCUCUGUGUAUUUUUACUAGCCUGGGAGCCCCAUGGGGGCAGGACCUGAGUCUGUGUUGAAUAAAAGCUCUUAGAUCCUGAUGACUGAUGAAGUUUGUGUUUGGAUUAG